rnacentral:rRNA from 1 species
CACCGCGGUUAUACGAGAGGCCCAAGUUGAUAGACAACGGCGUAAAGAGUGGUUAAGGAAAAUAUUUAACUAAAGCGGAACGCCCUCAUAGCUGUUAUACGCUUCCGAGAGUAUGAACCCCGACUACGAAAGUGGCUUUACACUACCUGAACCCACGAAAGCUAAGAAA